GAAGAACAGCUAGAAUAGGAAAUGAUUUUAGUUUGACGGUACCAUACCAGAAAGGGACGGCUAAAUACGUGCCAGCAGCCGCGGUAAUACGUAUGUCCCGAGCGUUAUCCGGAUUUAUUGGGCGUAAAGCGAGCGCAGACGGUUUAUUAAGUCUGAUGUGAAAGCCCGGAGCUCAACUCCGGAAUGGCAUUGGAAACUGGUUAACUUGAGUGCAGUAGAGGUAAGUGGAACUCCAUGUGUAGCGGUGGAAUGCGUAGAUAUAUGGAAGAACACCAGUGGCGAAGGCGGCUUACUGGACUGCAACUGACGUUGAGGCUCGAAAGUGUGGGUAGCAAACAGGAUUAGAUAC
rnacentral:rRNA from 1 species